rnacentral:rRNA from 1 species
UACAGAGGGUGCAAGCGUUGUUCGGAAUUAUUGGGCGUAAAGCGCGUGUAGGCGGCUUUGCAAGUCGGGUGUGAAAGCCCUCGGCUCAACCGAGGAAGUGCGCCCGAAACUGCAGAGCUUGAGUGCCGGAGAGGAUGGCGGAAUUCCCCAAGUAGAGGUGAAAUUCGUAGAUAUGGGGAGGAACACCGGUGGCGAAGGCGGUUCUCUGGGACGGUACUGACGCUGAGACGCGAAAGCCAGGGGAGCGAACGGG